GACUACCCAGGUGGCUAGCAUCUACUUGGAUAAGAAUGUCCUGAGCUUCAAAUCUCUUCCCUGAUAAAAAGAGGGCUGCUGCUCUCAAGGAACUUCAGUCAAGGGGAGUGGGGGAAGACAGUCCCAUACCCAGACAAAAAACUAGCGGGUGAAAGGCCAAUGAGUGGUGGGAAGGAAAGGGAAUGAAGCUUCCAGAAGAAAAGACAGAAGCUGAUUGAGGUCCCAGCUUGGUAACAGUUUGAAGAGUUGCAGGACUGGCUGGAUGAGUACUGGCUGCAGCAAGUCAUGCUGCCAGGAUUCUUUAUGGCUGUUUCUGCUUCCACUACAGCUGAGUCAGAAAGGUCGCUGCCCAGUGGUGGCAGUAGAUGCAGUGGACCUGGCAAGCAAAUGUUUCCGCUAUUAGCUCUCAGCAACAGAGACUCAUUUAUGGUCACCUUGGAAAUCUGGGCUUAUCGAUCUACAGCCCAAGUCUGCUGAGAAGCUGGAGCUUACUAAAGGGGAAACCUGAGAGCUGUUCAAGCCCCAAACAUUUUCCACUUCUGCGUCACCUCUGCUGUCUGUUAGCAGAGUGGAGGAGAAAAUACACCAGCACAAACAACGUGAAAAAAUACUCUAUUCAUUAAAAGCUGUAACUUCCAGACUGGACUUGAGAAGCAAUUAAGCAACAGAGGCACCUCAUCUACUAUCUGUAUUCAGGCAUGCUCAUGAGAACAUGCUGC
rnacentral:antisense_RNA from 1 species